rnacentral:lncRNA from 1 species
AAACAAAUACAUUAAGAAGCUAAGAAAUAUGUAUAUGUAUAUGUCAUUUUAAUUCAAACACAAGUAUUUGGAGUGUUUCAACCCAUCCUAUAAUGUUCAAAGCAAACUUAGUUCUUUACCCAUGUUAUCAUAUAAUAGGUUUCACGUAUCUGAUAAAAGUAGUUCUACGUUACUUGUACUUUUUCUUUUGUUUUGAUAUCUUUCACCCAUCUUUGUCUAUAUAAACUGUCAUUUUCUUUAUUUCUUUUGUCAUGUUCAUUUUUUUAAAACAACAUAUUAUGAUAUCAUUACAUUAUAUUUUAUAACUUUAGUUUUAAAAGAAUUUAAACAUAAAUACAUUAUAAUUUAAGUCAAUAAAGUUAAUCAUAAAAAUACACAUAUUCUCUUGUUGUUGUGUUUAAAACAUAUAUUUAAUUUUUAAAAAUGGUAUAAAAUAAGUAAUUCACUCUACCAAAGUUUAUUUGGUGUAAUAAACCUUGUCACCUUUAGAAGGCUACUAUAAUAAACAAAUACAUUAAUUAGCUAAAUGAUAUGUAUAUGAGUAUGUCGUUUUAAUUCAAAGACAUGCAUUCGGAGUGUUUCGACCCAUCCUAUAAUGUUCAAAGCAAACUUACUUCUUUACCUAUGUAUCCAUCUAAUAGGUUUCACGUUUCUAGUAAAAGUAGUUCUACGUUAUUUUUACAUUUUCUUUUGUUUUCAUAACUUUAACCCAUCUUUGUCUAAAUAAACUGUCAUUUCCUUUAUUUCUUUUUCUCACGUUCAUUUUUUUAAAACAACAUAUUAUGAUAACAAUACAUUAUAUUUUGUAAUUUUAAUUUUAAAAAAAUUCAAAUCUCAAUAAUUUACAGUUUAAGUCAAUAAACUUAAUCAUAAAAAAUAUGCAUAGUCUCUUGUGUUAGUGUUUAAAACAUAUAUUUAAUUUUUAAAAAUGGUAUAAAAUAAGAAAAUCAUUCUACAAAUGUGGAUUUGGUGUAAUAAACCUAGUCACCUUGAGAAUGCUACUAUGUUAAGCAAAUACAUUAAGCAGCUAAGUAAUACGUAUAUGAAUAUGUCAUUUUAAGUCAAAGACAUGCAUUUGGAUUGUUUCAACUCAUCCUAUAAUGUUCCUAGCAAACUUAGGUCUUUACCCAUGUGUCCAUCUAAUAGGUCUCACGUUUCUAAUAAAAGUAGUUCUACGCUAUUUUCACAUUUUGUUUUGUUUUCAUAACAUUAACCCAUCUUUGUGUAUAUAAACUGUCAUUUUCUUUAUUUCUCUUUUCUUGUUGAUUCUUUUUUAAAACAACAUAUUUUGAUAUCAAUACAUUAUAUUUUAUAAUUUUAGAUUUUAAAAAAUUAAACAUCAUUACGUUAGAAUUUAAGUCAAUAAAAUUAAUCAUAAAAAUACACAUACUCUCUUGUUUUUGUGUUUAAAACAUAUAUUAAAUUUUUAAAAAUGGUAUAAAAUAAGUAAAUCACUCUACGAACAUUGACUCAGUGUAAUAAACCUAGUCACCUUGAGAAGGCUACUAUGCUAAACAAAUACAUUAAGAAGCUAAGAAAUAUGUAUAUGUAUAUGUCAUUUUAAUUCAAACACAAGUAUUUGGAGUGUUUCAACCCAUCCUAUAAUGUUCAAAGCAAACUUAGUUCUUUACCCAUGUUAUCAUAUAAUAGGUUUCACGUAUCUGAUAAAAGUAGUUCUACGUUACUUGUACUUUUUCUUUUGUUUUGAUAUCUUUCACCCAUCUUUGUCUAUAUAAACUGUCAUUUUCUUUAUUUCUUUUGUCAUGUUCAUUUUUUUAAAACAACAUAUUAUGAUAUCAUUACAUUAUAUUUUAUAACUUUAGUUUUAAAAGAAUUUAAACAUAAAUACAUUAUAAUUUAAGUCAAUAAAGUUAAUCAUAAAAAUACACAUAUUCUCUUGUUGUUGUGUUUAAAACAUAUAUUUAAUUUUUAAAAAUGGUAUAAAAUAAGUAAUUCACUCUACCAAAGUUUAUUUGGUGUAAUAAACCUUGUCACCUUUAGAAGGCUACUAUAAUGAACAAAUACAUUAAUUAGCUAAAUGAUAUGUAUAUGAGUAUGUCGUUUUAAUUCAAAGACAUGCAUUCGGAGUGUUUCGACCCAUCCUAUAAUGUUCAAAGCAAACUUACUUCUUUACCUAUGUAUCCAUCUAAUAGGUUUCACGUUUCUAGUAAAAGUAGUUCUACGAUAUUUUUACAUUUUCUUUUGUUUUCAUAACUUUAACCCAUCUUUGUCUAAAUAAACUGUCAUUUCCUUUAUUUCUUUUUCUCACGUUCAUUUUUUUAAAACAACAUAUUAUGAUAACAAUACAUUAUAUUUUGUAAUUUUAAUUUUAAAAAAAUUCAAAUCUCAAUAAUUUACAGUUUAAGUCAAUAAACUUAAUCAUAAAAAAUAUGCAUAGUCUCUUGUGUUAGUGUUUAAAACAUAUAUUUAAUUUUUAAAAAUGGUAUAAAAUAAGAAAAUCAUUCUACAAAUGUGGAUUUGGUGUAAUAAACCUAGUCACCUUGAGAAUGCUACUAUGUUAAACAAAUACAUUAAGCAGCUAAGUAAUACGUAUAUGAAUAUGUCAUUUUAAGUCAAAGACAUGCAUUUGGAUUGUUUCAACUCAUCCUAUAAUGUUCCUAGCAAACUUAGGUCUUUACCCAUGUGUCCAUCUAAUAGGUCUCACGUUUCUAAUAAAAGUAGUUCUACGCUAUUUUCACAUUUUGUUUUGUUUUCUAAACUUUAACCCAUCUUUGUGUAUAUAAAGUGUCAUUUUCUUUAUUUCUCUUUUCUUUUUGAUUCUUUUUUAAAACAACAUAUUUUGAUAUCAAUACAUUAUAUUUUAUAAUUUUAGAUUUUAAAAAAUUAAACAUCAUUACGUUAGAAUUUAAGUCAAAAAAAUUAAUCAUAAAAAUACACAUACUCUCUUGUUUUUGUGUUUAAAACAUAUAUUUAAUUUUUAAAAAUGGUAUAAAAUAAGUAAAUCACUCUUCGAACGUUGACUCAGUGUAAUAAACCUAGUCACCUUGAGAAGGCUACUAUGCUAAACAGAUACAUUAAGAAGCUAAGAAAUAUGUAUAUGUAUAUGUCAUUUUAAUUCAAACAUAAGUAUUUGGAGUGUUUCAACUCAUCCUAUAAUGUUCAAAGCAAACUUAGUUCUUUACCCAUGUUAUCAUAUAAUAGGUUUCACGUAUCUGAUAAAAGUAGUUCUACGUUACUUGUACUUUUUCUUUUGUUUUGAUAUCUUUCAC